GAUGAACGCUGGCGGCGUGCCUAAUACAUGCAAGUCGAGCGAACGGACGAGAAGCUUGCUUCUCUGAUGUUAGCGGCGGACGGGUGAGUAACACGUGGAUAACCUACCUAUAAGACUGGGAUAACUUCGGGAAACCGGGGCUAAUACCGGAUAAUAUUUUGAACCGCAUGGUUCAAAAGUGAAAGACGGUCUUGCUGUCACUUAUAGAUGGAUCCGCGCUGCAUUAGCUAGUUGGUAAGGUAACGGCUUACCAAGGCAACUAUGCAUAGCCGACCUGAGAGGGUGAUCGGCCACACUGGAACUGAGACACGGUCCAGACUCCUACGGGAGGCAGCAGUAGGGAAUCUUCCGCAAUGGGCGAAAGCCUGACGGAGCAACGCCGCGUGAGUGAUGAAGGUCUUCGGAUCGUAAAACUCUGUUAUUAGGGAAGAACAUAUGUGUAAGUAACUGUGCACAUCUUGACGGUACCUAAUCAGAAAGCCACGGCUAACUACGUG
rnacentral:rRNA from 1 species